AACGUAAAAAAAUUAAAAUGAUGAAUCUAAAACAAACAAAAAACCCAAAAAACUUACUGGAAAUGCCAGCAAGUGUGAUGGAGUGGGAUUCCAAUCACGGAACACGUGCAGCUGUUGGCCAUGCGGAACUACACAGAGUCGCCAAUGACAACUCACCAUUGGCAGAGGCGGGGCCAAGAGCAGCCACAGCCACAGCCACAGCCACAGCCACAGCAAGACUGGUCCCACGUGCUUCGGUCCCAGUUCCUAAAAUUAACCCUUAUCCUGCAGCUCCACGUGACGGCAUUUCCUGCCCUUGCUUUUGACUUGAUCAGUGGAUCCCUUCCAACCAGUAACCUCUUCAUGUUGGUUGGUAAGUUUACUUCCCCAGAGAAUUAUAAUAGAUACAUGCCAAAUAAAAAUCACUUAAAAUUUUAAAGAUAAUUCCACAUCGUUACAAAGCAGUCACAGGGAUAGGAAGCACAGCACAGGGAAUAUCGUCAAUGAUGUUGUAAUAACUAGCGAUGGUGCCACGUGAGUACUAGGCUUAUUGGGGAUCACCUCAUAAAUUAUAUAAAAGUCUAACCAUUAUGCUUAUCUUUCAUUAUUACAGAAUUAUAAUACUUUCCCCUUUUUCUCCAUUUCUUGACUGCUUUUCUGCGCUCUUUGGGAAUGGGAAAAACAAAACUUUCCUGGGAGAUGGGGGGGAGGGAGGGGAGGGAGGAAUCCCUGCCUGGCAAUGGGAUGGGCAGAGUCCCUCCCUGUGGCCUCAGACGACUGUCUUAGCUCCCAGCCACACAUGCUCGAGGGAUGGUCGCAAAUAGGAAAAAACCUCAGAAGACCUGCGAGGCCCCUUGGGUGGCAGUGGUGAGAACAGGCCCCGCCCUUUCUCAGCCUGUCAGAAGCAAAGUAGGAAGUAAUCCAGAUUCUUGGGGGGGUGGGGGGGUGAGGGUAGGGCUCUUACACGGGAGCUCUUCCCCACUCACUUAGCCCUCACAGCCAGCCUAUGAGGCGGUGCUAUGAUCCUCGCUUUAGGAAUGAGGAACUGAGACCCAGAGAGGUCAACCAACUUGCCUGAGAGAACACAGCCAUGGCCAGAAGAAGCAGAGCCAACGUCUGAACCAGGCCACACAGCUCCAGCGUCUCUGUCAGUAACCACUGUGUGAAAGUGGCUUUCAAAGAGGGAAAUGGUGACUGGACAAGAAGGGCAGUUACUCUUAUUUCAACAUCCCAGCUUGCAAGUUAGUCUUUGUUGUCCCUAUCUGACAGGAACUGACACACACCAACCAAGCUCCCACGAUCCAGGCUGGCUCAUUGAUGGGGCAAAAUUUCAGUUAAUUGGUUGACCACGAGAAAUCGAACAACUAUGGACCCUGGAACAAUUGGGCUGAUGAUGGAUCUCCCUGCUUAUCAGCCACUUGGACCUCAGUUUCCUCAUCUGCAAAAUGGGAAGAUAUAGGAACCCAUCUGGGGAGUUACUGUAAGAAUUAAAUGAGAUGAAUAAGCAAAGCAUUUGCUUUCUUUCCCUGUCUCCUCGUUUACUGACCUCCCACCUAACAGGGGUACAUAGAAAAUCCAAGCAGGGUGGACUCAGGAACCAACAGCCCUGGUUCACUCGAAGCUCCAGUCCCAUCUCUGCCCCAACCUGGCGGGGUGCCAGUAGGAAAAUCCCUUUUGCAUCUCUGGGCUUCGUUUCUUCCUCCUAAAGGGAGGGUCCCCUGUCCCACCAUCCACCCACACAGCUCCUCCAGCCCAGACCUUCUGGCUGCUUGUCACACCACCAUUCAUUAGGUUCUUACAUAUUCUUGGGGGUUUGAGACACACCCAGAUCUCUGUGAUACAUACUCUGAUCUCACAGGAUUCCUUGGCUUGCUUGCAUCUCUAGACAGGAGAGGCGGCUCGGGUCAUGCUCAAGGUUGACAACUAACUACAUUAUCCAGAGCCGAGGCUGGUGGCACAUUUGUGAAGACACAACCCCCUCCCCACCCAUAUUACCUUAUCUUCAUUGAAACGUUAGAAGAAUUGGAGCCAAAGCAUCUCCCAUGUUCACUGUUUUCCUGACUGAGGCUUACAAGGAUGCCACCCAAUCUCUACAGUGUUGUUCAGAUGAAUACUUCUGGGAAACAGUUUAGUUGGGUGGUACAGAUAACUGCAUCUAAAAGUCAUUUUAGCUUCCUGAGCAAUUCUCCAUGGUUCAUUCUUGCCUAGGUUUUAUUAAAAUAAGAUUUGUCGUCCCCCCCCCCGCCAUGAUAAAAGUAGUGCAUAUUCACCAUAAAGUAUCUAGGAAGUACAGACUAGCACGAAGAAAUACAUGAAAACUACCCACGCCCCACUCAGACAACCACUGCCAACAUUCUGAUGGGUCCCUCUGCAGGAAAACAUGUGAUGUUUAUACAGAGAAAUGCACAACACUAAUUGCAUAUAGUAACAAUAUUUUCAUGUAUGGAUGUGUAUGUUUUUCUUUUACAAA